rnacentral:rRNA from 1 species
AUUGAACGCUGGCGGCAUGCCUUACACAUGCAAGUCGAACGGCAGCACGGAGCUUGCUCUGGUGGCGAGUGGCGAACGGGUGAGUAAUAUAUCGGAACGUACCCUAGAGUGGGGGAUAACGUAGCGAAAGUUACGCUAAUACCGCAUACGAUCUAAGGAUGAAAGUGGGGGAUCGCAAGACCUCAUGCUCGUGGAGCGGCCGAUAUCUGAUUAGCUAGUUGGUAGGGUAAAAGCCUACCAAGGCAUCGAUCAGUAGCUGGUCUGAGAGGACGACCAGCCACACUGGAACUGAGACACGGUCCAGACUCCUACGGGAGGCAGCAGUGGGGAAUUUUGGACAAUGGGCGAAAGCCUGAUCCAGCAAUGCCGCGUGAGUGAAGAAGGCCUUCGGGUUGUAAAGCUCUUUUGUCAGGGAAGAAACGGUGAAAGCUAAUAUCUUUUGCUAAUGACGGUACCUGAAGAAUAAGCACCGGCUAACUACGUGCCAGCAGCCGCGGUAAUACGUAGGGUGCAAGCGUUAAUCGGAAUUACUGGGCGUAAAGCGUGCGCAGGCGGUUUUGUAAGUCUGAUGUGAAAUCCCCGGGCUCAACCUGGGAAUUGCAUUGGAGACUGCAAGGCUAGAAUCUGGCAGAGGGGGGUAGAAUUCCACGUGUAGCAGUGAAAUGCGUAGAUAUGUGGAGGAACACCGAUGGCGAAGGCAGCCCCUGGGGUCAAGAUUGACGCUCAUGCACGAAAGCGUGGGGAGCAAACAGGAUUAGAUACCCUGGUAGUCCACGCCCUAAACGAUGUCUACUAGUUGUCGGGUCUUAAUUGACUUGGUAACGCAGCUAACGCGUGAAGUAGACCGCCUGGGGGGUACGGUCGCAAGAUUAAAACUCAAAGGAAUUGACGGGGACCCGCACAAGCGGUGGAUGAUGUGGAUUAAUUCGAUGCAACGCGAAAAACCUUACCUACCCUUGACAUGGCUGGAAUCCUUGAGAGAUCAGGGAGUGCUCGAAAGAGAACCAGUACACAGGUGCUGCAUGGCUGUCGUCAGCUCGUGUCGUGAGAUGUUGGGUUAAGUCCCGCAACGAGCGCAACCCUUGUCAUUAGUUGCUACGAAAGGGCACUCUAAUGAGACUGCCGGUGACAAACCGGAGGAAGGUGGGGAUGACGUCAAGUCCUCAUGGCCCUUAUGGGUAGGGCUUCACACGUCAUACAAUGGUACAUACAGAGCGCCGCCAACCCGCGAGGGGGAGCUAAUCGCAGAAAGUGUAUCGUAGUCCGGAUUGUAGUCUGCAACUCGACUGCAUGAAGUUGGAAUCGCUAGUAAUCGCGGAUCAGCAUGUCGCGGUGAAUACGUUCCCGGGUCU